rnacentral:rRNA from 1 species
UACGGAGGGAGCUAGCGUUAUUCGGAAUUACUGGGCGUAAAGCGCACGUAGGCGGCUUUGUAAGUAAGAGGUGAAAGCCCAGAGCUCAACUCUGGAAUUGCCUUUUAGACUGCAUCGCUUGAAUCAUGGAGAGGUCAGUGGAAUUCCGAGUGUAGAGGUGAAAUUCGUAGAUAUUCGGAGGAACACCAGUGGCGAAGGCGGCUCACUGGUCCAUUACUGACGCUGAGGUGCGAAAGCGUGGGGAGCAAACAGG